CAACGGAUCUCUUGGUUCUGGCAUCGAUGAAGAACGCAGCGAAAUGCGAUAAGUAAUGUGAAUUGCAGAAUUCAGUGAAUCAUCGAAUCUUUGAACGCACAUUGCGCCCUUUGGUAUUCCGAAGGGCAUGCCUGUUCAAGCGUCAUUA
rnacentral:rRNA from 1 species